GGUCAAUGAUAUUUUGGCAAAUAGAGCCUGAAUUUACUGCUGAAUUGCACUAACACUUCAGCUCUACAAUUAUGCUGAAAUAUU